rnacentral:tRNA from 1 species
UAGCUUAGUUGGUAGUGCGUCUGCCUUGUAAGCACUAGGCCGUGGGUUCGAUUCCCGC